AGCACAAGGAGCAAUCUGAGGUGGCGACCGGCGCACGGGUGAGUAACACGUAUGCAACCUGCCUGUAAGAGGGGGAUAACCCGUUGAAAGACGGACUAAUACCGCAUAAUACUGAAUAACCGCAUGGUUAAUUAGUUAAACAUUUAUGGCUUACAGAUGGGCAUGCGCAUGAUUAGCUAGUUGGUGAGGUAACGGCUCACCAAGGCAACGAUCAUUAGGGGUUCUGAGAGGAAGGUCCCCCACACUGGUACUGAGACACGGACCAGACUCCUACGGGAGGCAGCAGUGAGGAAUAUUGGUCAAUGGGCGAGAGCCUGAACCAGCCAAGUCGCGUGAAGGAUGAAGGUUUUAUGAAUUGUAAACUUCUUUUGCAGGGGAAUAAAGUACGGUACGUGUACCGUUUUGUAUGUACUCUGCGAAUAAGGAUCGGCUAACUCCGUGCCAGCAGCCGCGGUAAUACGGAGGGGGGGGGGCGUUAUCCGGAUUUAUUGGGUUUAAAGGGUGCGCAGGCGGGUUGAUAAGUCAGCGGUGAAAGUUUGCAGCUUAACUGUAAAAUUGCCGUUGAAACUGUCGAUCUUGAGUGCAAAUGAGGUAAGCGGAAUGUGUUGUGUAGCGGUGAAAUGCUUAGAUAUAACACAGAACACCGAUUGCGAAGGCAGCUUACUGGGAUGCAACUGACGCUCAUGCACGAAAGCGUGGGGAUCAAACAGGAUUAGAUACCCUGGUAGUCCACGCAGUAAACGAUGAAUACUAACUGUUUGCGAUAUACAGUAAGCGGUACAGCGAAAGCGUUAAGUAUUCCACCUGGGAGUACGUUCGCAAGAAUGAAACUCAAA
rnacentral:rRNA from 1 species